GGUUAAGCGACUAAGCGUACACGGUGGAUGCCCUGGCAGUCAGAGGCGAUGAAGGACGUGCUAAUCUGCGAAAAGCGUCGGUAAGGUGAUAUGAACCGUUAUAACCGGCGAUGUCCGAAUGGGGAAACCCAGUGCAAUUCGUUGCACUAUCGUUAACUGAAUACAUAGGUUAACGAGGCGAACCGGGGGAACUGAAACAUCUAAGUACCCCGAGGAAAAGAAAUCAACCGAGAUUCCCCCAGUAGCGGCGAGCGAACGGGGAGCAGCCCAGAGUCUGAAUCAGCUUGUGUGUUAGUGGAACGGUCUGGAAAGUCCGACGGUACAGGGUGAUAGUCCCGUACACCAAAAUGCACAGGCUGUGAACUCGAAGAGUAGGGCGGGACACGUGGUAUCCUGUCUGAAUAUGGGGGGACCAUCCUCCAAGGCUAAAUACUCCUGACUGACCGAUAGUGAACCAGUACCGUGAGGGAAAGGCGAAAAGAACCCCGGCGAGGGGAGUGAAAAAGAACCUGAAACCGUGUACGUACAAGCAGUGGGAGCACCUUCGGGUGUGACUGCGUACCUUUUGUAUAAUGGGUCAGCGACUUAUAUUCUGUAGCAAGGUUAACCGUAUAGGGGAGCCGCAGGGAAACCGAGUCUUAACUGGGCGUUAAGUUGCAGGGUAUAGACCCGAAACCCGGUGAUCUAGCCAUGGGCAGGUUGAAGGUUGGGUAACACUAACUGGAGGACCGAACCGACUAAUGUUGAAAAAUUAGCGGAUGACUUGUGGCUGGGGGUGAAAGGCCAAUCAAACCGGGAGAUAGCUGGUUCUCCCCGAAAGCUAUUUAGGUAGCGCCUCGUGAACUCAUCUUCGGGGGUAGAGCACUGUUUCGGCUAGGGGGUCAUCCCGACUUACCAACCCGAUGCAAACUACGAAUACCGAAGAAUGUUAUCACGGGAGACACACGGCGGGUGCUAACGUCCGUCGUGAAGAGGGAAACAACCCAGACCGCCAGCUAAGGUCCCAAAGUCAUGGUUAAGUGGGAAACGAUGUGGGAAGGCACAGACAGCCAGGAUGUUGGCUUAGAAGCAGCCAUCAUUUAAAGAAAGCGUAAUAGCUCACUGGUCGAGUCGGCCUGCGCGGAAGAUGUAACGGGGCUAAACCAUGCACCGAAGCUGCGGCAGCGACACUAUGUGUUGUUGGGUAGGGGAGCGUUCUGUAAGCCUGCGAAGGUGUGCUGUGAGGCAUGCUGGAGGUAUCAGAAGUGCGAAUGCUGACAUAAGUAACGAUAAAGCGGGUGAAAAGCCCGCUCGCCGGAAGACCAAGGGUUCCUGUCCAACGUUAAUCGGGGCAGGGUGAGUCGACCCCUAAGGCGAGGCCGAAAGGCGUAGUCGAUGGGAAACAGGUUAAUAUUCCUGUACUUGGUGUUACUGCGAAGGGGGGACGGAGAAGGCUAUGUUAGCCGGGCGACGGUUGUCCCGGUUUAAGCAUGUAGGCUGGUUGUCCAGGCAAAUCCGGAUAAUCAAGGCUGAGGUGUGAUGACGAGGCACUACGGUGCUGAAGUAACAAAUGCCCUGCUUCCAGGAAAAGCCUCUAAGCAUCAGGUAACAUCAAAUCGUACCCCAAACCGACACAGGUGGUCAGGUAGAGAAUACCAAGGCGCUUGAGAGAACUCGGGUGAAGGAACUAGGCAAAAUGGUGCCGUAACUUCGGGAGAAGGCACGCUGGUGUGUAGGUGAAGCCCCUGCGGGUGGAGCUGAGACCAGUCGAAGAUACCAGCUGGCUGCAACUGUUUAUUAAAAACACAGCACUGUGCAAACACGAAAGUGGACGUAUACGGUGUGACGCCUGCCCGGUGCCGGAAGGUUAAUUGAUGGGGUUAUCCGUAAGGAGAAGCUCUUGAUCGAAGCCCCGGUAAACGGCGGCCGUAACUAUAACGGUCCUAAGGUAGCGAAAUUCCUUGUCGGGUAAGUUCCGACCUGCACGAAUGGCGUAAUGAUGGCCAGGCUGUCUCCACCCGAGACUCAGUGAAAUUGAACUCGCUGUGAAGAUGCAGUGUACCCGCGGCAAGACGGAAAGACCCCGUGAACCUUUACUAUAGCUUGACACUGAACAUUGAGCCUUGAUGUGUAGGAUAGGUGGGAGGCUUUGAAGCGUGGACGCCAGUCUGCGUGGAGCCAACCUUGAAAUACCACCCUUUAAUGUUUGAUGUUCUAACGUUGGCCCCUGACCGGGGUUGCGGACAGUGUCUGGUGGGUAGUUUGACUGGGGCGGUCUCCUCCCAAAGCGUAACGGAGGAGCACGAAGGUUAGCUAAUCCUGGUCGGACAUCAGGAGGUUAGUGCAAUGGCAUAAGCUAGCUUGACUGCGAGCGUGACGGCGCGAGCAGGUGCGAAAGCAGGUCAUAGUGAUCCGGUGGUUCUGAAUGGAAGGGCCAUCGCUCAACGGAUAAAAGGUACUCCGGGGAUAACAGGCUGAUACCGCCCAAGAGUUCAUAUCGACGGCGGUGUUUGGCACCUCGAUGUCGGCUCAUCACAUCCUGGGGCUGAAGUAGGUCCCAAGGGUAUGGCUGUUCGCCAUUUAAAGUGGUACGCGAGCUGGGUUUAGAACGUCGUGAGACAGUUCGGUCCCUAUCUGCCGUGGGCGCUGGAGAAUUGAGGGGGGCUGCUCCUAGUACGAGAGGACCGGAGUGGACGCAUCACUGGUGUUCGGGUUGUCAUGCCAAUGGCACUGCCCGGUAGCUAAAUGCGGAAGAGAUAAGUGCUGAAAGCAUCUAAGCACGAAACUUGCCCCGAGAUGAGUUCUCCCUGAGACUUUAAGUCUCCUGAAGGAACGUUGAAGACGACGACGUUGAUAGGCCGGGUGUGUAAGCGCAGCGAUGCGUUGAGCUAACCGGUACUAAUGAACCGUGAGGCUUAACCUU
rnacentral:rRNA from 1 species